CCGUACUGGCGGCAUAGGGAAGUUCCCAGGCUAGAGGUGGAAGCAGAGCUCUAGCUUCUGGCCUACACCACAGCCACAGCAAUGUGGGAUCUGAGCUGCAUGUGCGACUUACACCGUAGUUCACAGCAAUGCUGGAUCCUUAACCUACGAAGUGAGGCCAGGGAUUGAACAUGUGUCUCAUGGAUACUAGUCAGAUUCGUUUCCACUGAGCCACGAUGGGAAUUUCCCUAGAACUAUCUUGAUUCAGUAUUAUCUAUGCAACUCAAUAGUUUUCAGAAAGCCAAUAUAGCUAAGAUGUUCCCCCGUAAGAAUCUAACAUGAUGGUACAGGGUGGAGAAUAAGGCUUUGAGCCAGACUGAUGCCAGGUGAGUGGAAGAGCCUUAGAAAGAAUUAAUCAGAUUUAUAUGCUGUUUCCUUUAAGUCCCAAUAUGCAUACGAGCUUCAAAGUACAAAUGAAAAUCAUAUAAAAGCUCAGUGCUUCUUUGGCUCCCAGUAUUCCAACUAUUUGCAUUCUUUCAAAACAGACACCAUGGAAAAUUCAAAGCUUUUUUCAACAGCUGCUAAAUCACUUUGGAUUUUUCUUUUCAAAUUGCUAUCCUAUCAUAGUCAAUUUAGGUCCCUCCUUUUCCUCCCUGUCUUUUCAUUUUUCCUCUCCCAAACACAAGAGUUCUUCAUAGCCUAUCCGUGACUUGGACCAGAAAUGGAUUAUUUGAAACAGUCAUUUAUCUGUUCAUCACCUAAGGCUCUGAAUACCUUUAUGCUAUUUCAAAAGCAAAUUCUUUGUUUCCAUCUCUCACCCAUACUUAAAAAAUGAUGACCUGCCACCACUGAAGAUUCAUUUCUUUUAGGGCUGUACCCACAGCAUAUGGAGGUUCCCAGACCAGGGGUCUAAUCAGAGUUACAGCUGCUGGGCUACACCACAGCCACAGCAAUGCAGGAUCUGAGCCAUGUCUGUGAACUACACCACAGCUCACAGCAACACCAGAUCCUUAACCCAUUGAGUGAGGCCAGGGAUUGAACCCUCAACCUCGUGGCUCCUAGUCGGAUUCGUUUCCACUGCGCCACGACAGGAACUCCUGAGAUACAUUUUAAAUGUGCUGUUAAGUUUUAAAGGCAUUUCAAAGGGAGAGGUCCAAAGAUAUUUUAAGUAAUAUCAGCAGAGCUGAAAUAAGUGAGUAAUUUCAGAUACCACAUAUUCUUAAGGGAGAAAAUUAAUUUGGGUACUUAAUCUUAGCAUUGGUUAAAAGAUGAGUCAGAUUAAAUUAUAGCUUGAUAUAUGCACACACACACUGUGUAUACACAAUCUUGAAAUCUCUUGUGUAUUUUUAAAAGGAAAGUGAAAAUUGAAAGACAGUAGCAAAAGUAAAAUCAGCAUGGAAAAUACCAUGGGAGGAAACACCUGCUGGGAAAACAUAUAUGUAGAAAAGAUCUUACAGGCUUCCUUCUUAAUUUUACCCAGUAAAGCAGUAAUAUUUAGGAAUAAAAAUGUUGUGGAAAACUAACAACAUUUCAAUAUUUUAACACAUUUAAAGGCUCUGGCUCCAUAGUCAAGAUUGUUAACUUUAUUUAUUUAUUUAUUUAUUUGUCUUUUUGCCUUUUCUAGGGCUGCUCCCGCGGCAUAUGGAGGUUCCCAGGCUAGGGGUCCAAUCAGAGCUGAAGCCGCCACUCUACGCCACAGCCACAGCAACACCAGAUUCCAGCUGCGUCUGUGACCUACACUACAGCUCACGGCAACACCGGAUCCUUAACCCACUGAGCAAGGCCAGGGAUUGAAUCCGCAACCUCAUGGUUCCUAGUUGGAUUUAUUAACCACUGAGCCACGACGGGAACUCCAGUCUUAACUUCAUAAACCUUAAAUUUUAUGCCUUACUGAUAUACUUUAAAGACUGCAUUUACACUUUAUCUAGGUGUUUCAUUUUGUUACACACUACUUAAUAUCUGGUAAUCAUAAAUGAGCAACCUUUUACUUCUGAAGCACACACACAGGAUAUCUUUAAUAAUUCAAAGAGCUUUCUAUAAUGACAAAGUCAUAUUGAUGAAUGCAAUAGGAAAAUUCUAAUACUAUUCAACAUAACUUAAAUAAUUCACAGUAGAAACCAGGCAUAAUAGAGCAAGAAAAAUAAAUUCUAAGUGCUCAAAAUAUUUUGUUCUUUCUUACACCAAUGCAUAGUUCUUAAAUCAUAGUGACAGUUUUCCUCUCUUUUGUUGGAAUACAUGACAGCUCUUCAUAUUCUGGAGCAGGUGCAAACGAUAAACGCUUUCCUAUUAAAGUCAAGAAUGUCAGCAUUCUGUGUGCAGUGAUGGGCAGACCUCCAUCAUUUUUGCAUAAGACAUCUCCUGGGAGAGCUAUCACCAGACCAUUACUACACUAUCAACUUACUCUCAUCUCAAAUUAUUAUUCUUCAAAGACAGCCAGCUGAGUUGCACUUUACUUUUUUAGAUUCCCUGAUAGGUGAUGAAAGGAAAAUGUCAAACAGAGAACAGAUAACAAGGUUAUUCAUAAUUUCACUAACACCAAAUAAUUCCAAAAUCAAUCUUUUAAACAUAGUAUUUUGCAUUUUGGAAAUAUGAUACAUCGCUAAUUAUUCAAUCUGACUAUAUAAAAUAAGUAAAUGAGGAAAAAAACAUUUAAAAAACAGCUAGUGAAUGAUUUUUGUAAAUACAGAAUUAUGGUGAAUUCUAAAAUGAAUUAACAAGUAAUGAAGAAAUUAAUUGAAAAACUACAUUAAGAAUAAAAUUAAUAUGGUUUAAUAUUUUAUUUCCUUUGGUGUUUAUUUAUAGAAUCCUUCUUUCAGAUGAUUGUAAAUCAAGAGCCAUACUCAGGUUAUAUAGUUAAAAGAUCUUUUUUUCACAAUUUAGAGGAGGUGACAUGAUGUUUAAAGAUAACAUGGUCUAUAGAGAAUUGUUUUGAACUAAGAAGAUAAAUUGGAAUUUUUUUUUUUUUGUCUUUUGAGGGCUGCACCCGCAGCAUACGGAGGUUCCCAGGCUAGGGGUCUAAUCAGAGCUACAGCUGCCAGGCUACUCCAGAGACACAGCAACACCAGAUCCGAGCAGCAUCUGCAACCUAUACCACAGCUCACAGCAACACUGGAUAUUUAACCCACUGAGCAAGGCCAGGGAUCGAACCCGCAACCUCAUGGUUCCUAGUUGGAUUCAUUUCUGCCUGUGCCAAGACUCCAAAUUGAAAUUUAUUUUGAUGAAAGAAGGAAAAAAAAAAAGAACUUCCCCAAAACAUUAAGUAAUGAAAUUUUCAAAAAUUUGUGGGAAUGGUCACAUGUAUUAAUGCAAAAUAAAUAUAUAUUUUAACAUUCUGAAGGUUAGCAUGCUUUUGAGAUAUGAAUAAAUUUUUUAACAUUUAUAUUUAUCAAAUUAAAAAGAUACAUUUAAACCUGGCAACAGAAAUCUUACAAAUAGUCAAUAUACAUUAUACACAUAUAUAUUAUGUGAUAUGUAUAAAUAUAUAUAUAUAUUUCUAUGACAAUGGAGUAUUAUUCAAUCAUGAGAAAGAAGGAAAUCCUAUCCUUUGUGGCAACAUGAAUGAACAUGAAAGAUAUUAUUCUACAUAAAAUAAGCCAGCCAAAGACAAAUAUUGUAUUAUAAUAUCUCAUUUAUAUGUGGACUCUUAAAAAAAAAGGAAGAAGAAGAAGUCAAACUCAAAAAUGAGAGUUGAAUGGUAGUUCCCAGGGUCUGGGAGUUGAGGAAACGGGGAGAUGUUGGUCAAAGGAGAUAACACUUCGAUUAUAAAAUGAAUAAAUUCUGGGGAUAUAGUGGAAAGCAUGGUGAUUGUAUUUAAUAAUAGUGUAUUUUACACUUCAAAUUUACUAACAGAGUAGUCAUACACACACAUACACAAACUAUGUGAGGUGACGGACAUAUUAAUUAACCUGAGUAUCAUAAUCACUUCACAAUAUAUAUGCUUAUCAAUCAUAGUGCUCUAGUUGUUAAUAUAUGUAAUUUUGUCAAUUACCCCUCAGUAAAGCUGAGGGGGUGGGGAAUAAAACAAGGAAAAACUCCAGGAAACAAGCUAAAGCGGAAAGAGAGAGACAGACCAGAGCAAGCCUAGGCUUAUUAUUUCAUGGGGAAAAAGACAGGAAGUUCUUGGAUUUUGGUAGAACGAAAGAGAUGACUUAUUUCUGCAUUGCUGUUUCAGUUCCCUAACCAAAGUUAAAUUUUCUGCCUAGCAGGGAAAUCAAACCUUAAUUCAGUGUAAUAUCUCUCUUGCUGGAGUUACAGCCACCUCAACUUACACAAAUUUGGUUUUUCCUAGUUCAAGUUAUUCCAGCCUUGAUAGCUCUGGGGAUCACUUUUAAAUAUGUGCAGAAUCAAGUUUUAUUCACCCCAUUAUUCACAGUUUUUAGUAACACAUCCCCUACUCCCAGUUUAACUGAAGCCGUAUAAAUUUUAUAUCAAAGUACUACAAGUAGCAACAAUAUUAAAUAUAAGUUUAUGCCUUCUUUUCCAAAUUUUGCCUAACAGGUAGAGGUUUAAAAAAAAGUUGGUGAAACACACUUAUUAAAGUAUGUAUCACAACAUUACUGAAUUUUAAUGAAGAAACUAUUUGGUAUUGAAAAAAGUCUGGCAUUAUUUUGUUCUAUUAAAAAAUCCUCUAGUAUUUUUCUUAAAUUGUUAAGUCAUUACCUCUUUUAUUUGAAAAUAUCUAUAGCAUUAAAAAUAUAUUAUUGUGACAUAUAUAUUAAUCAAUACAAUUUCAUCAACACAGAUGUUAGUACCUAAAAUUGACUAUUGUAGGGAAGAUUUUGAGUAGAAGAGCAUUUUUGUAAUAAUAAAUGUAAUGAUUAGAAUUAAAGUAUUCAUUGUCUGGUAAUACUAAUGUAAUAAAUACAUUCUAAUAAAUGUAUUUAUUAGAAUUAAAAUAUUUAUUUAUUAUCUGGUAAUACUCAUGAGAAAAUAGCAAUGUUAGACACAAUCAUAGAACGUAGCCUCUAAUCUUUAGGCCAUAUAUAAAUUUAUAUGUCAGGUGUUUUCAUAUUCUAUAUUUAUACCAUUUUAUGUUCAAAGGGAAGAAUAUUAAGAUUGUAAAACUAGCUAGGAAGAAGAUUAUUCAAAAGUUUUAAAAAAUCUUUUAAACUAACCAUAAAAUCUUGUUUCAAGAGCUUUUUCAACCCUUAUAAUCGCAACUUACUGCACAAGUCAUAAUUUGAAUGUAAUGAAAUACUCUACAAAAAUGUUCAACAGAAUUUAAAAUUUAACUUAAGGGAAUUUGGAAGUUCAGUCAUUCUCAAAUAGGCUGUAAGGAUGAUUAAAAUCCUGAAGGAAGCCUGAAAGAAAAAGGACAUGGUCAUUAUUGGAAAUUUAAUACAACGUUAACUCUCAGGUUUCACGUUUAGACUAGAAAGCUUAAGUUCAAGGCCCUUAUACCAAUCUUUAUAGAAAUGUAAUGUUCUCCAACUCAUGGUCCUUCCCUUGAAAAGCUGUACGUGGGUAAUAGUGAUUAUCAACUCAAAUUAGUCACACACACCGGGGUGAAUUGGAAAUGAAAAGCUUCUUCAAUUACCCAAACUAACAUAAACGAUUUAUUUCCUUCUGCUGACACGAAAGGAAAGGAGCUGAAUGUUCAUGAAGGACAGCAUUUAUCCACCCUGCACUGAGGUCAGAGAGCUCUCUCAGCACAAAUAUUCCCAGAAAAGGUUCAGCUUGGCAGAAAAUAAACCAUCUAUUCCAAAAGGUCACCACGUCAGCCCAACUUUUCAUCUGCUGUGAGAAAAAUCCUGUCGAAGUCCAUUACUGUAAGGCAGCAGCUGUUCUGUAGAAGGACAGCCUCCAAAAGACAACAGUUUCUCAUAAGCCCCAGUGCAAUUCCUCCUCUUCACUGACUAUUUCUGGUCUCUUCUGACACACACCAUUCUUCCUCACCACUAAGGCUUUGCUCAUUCACCUCAAAUACCUCCCAAAUAUUCCUCUACAUUUUACAUAAUUUUACAUAGUCUUUUCUUUCUUUCUUUCUUUUUUUUUUUUUUUGUCUUUUUGUCUUUGUUGUUGUUGUUGUUGCUAUUUCUUGGGCCGCUCCUGCGGCAUAUGGAGGUUCCCAGGCUAGGGGUUGAAUUGGAGCUGUAGCCACCGGCCUACGCCAGAGCCACAGCAACGCGGGAU
rnacentral:lncRNA from 1 species